rnacentral:rRNA from 1 species
GAUGAACGCUGGCGGCGUGCUUAACACAUGCAAGUCGAACGAGAAAUGGAGACGGAAACCUUCGGGCGGAAGGCUUCAUUUCGAGUGGCGGACGGGUGAGUAACGCGUGGGUAACCUGCCUCAUACAGGGGGAUAACAGUUGGAAACGACUGUUAAUACCGCAUAAGACCACAGCACCGCAUGGUGCGGGGGUAAAAACUCCGGUGGUAUGAGAUGGACCCGCGUUCGAUUAGCCAGUUGGCGGGGUAACGGCCCACCAAAGCGACGAUCGAUAGCCGAUCUGAGAGGCUGACCGGCCACAUUGGGACUGAGACACGGCCCAAACUCCUACGGGAGGCAGCAGUGGGGAAUAUUGCACACUGGGGGAAACCCUGAUGCAGCGACGCCGCGUGAGUGAAGAAGUACUUCGGUAUGUAAAGCUCUAUCAGCAGGGAAGAAAAUGACGGUACCUGAGUAAGAAGCCCCGGCUAACUACGUG